rnacentral:rRNA from 1 species
CCUACGGGCGGCAGCAGUGGGGAAUAUUGCGCAAUGGGCGAAAGCCUGACGCAGCGACGCCGCGUGAGGGAUGAAGGUCUUCGGAUCGUAAACCUCUGUCAGCAGGGAAGAACGGUCACUGUGCUAAUCAGCAGUGAAUUGACGGUACCUGCAAAGGAAGCACCGGCUAACUCCGUGCCAGCAGCCGCGGUAAUACGGAGGGUGCGAGCGUUAAUCGGAAUUACUGGGCGUAAAGCGCGCGUAGUCGGUAUGUCAAGUCAAGGGUGAAAUCCCCGCGCUCAACGUGGGAACUGCCUUUGAUACUGGCAGACUGGAGUGUGUGAGAGGAUAGUGGAAUUCGAGGUGUAGGAGUGAAAUCCGUAGAUAUCUGGAAGAACAUCAGUGGCGAAGGCGACUAUCUGGCACAUAACUGACGCUGAGGAGCGAAAGCGUGGGUAGCAAACAGGAUUAGAUACCCUGGUAGUC